UACGUAGGGUGCGAGCGUUAAUCGGAAUUACUGGGCGUAAAGCGUGCGCAGGCGGUUUGUAAGCCAGAUGUGAAAUCCCCGGCUUAACCUGGGAAUGGCAUUUGGGACUGCAAGGCUUGAGUGCGGCAGAGGAGACUGGAAUUCCUGGUGUAGCAGUGAAAUGCGUAGAUAUCAGGAGGAAUACCGAUGGCGAAGGCGGUCUCUGGGCAGUAACUGACGCUGAGGAGCGAAAGCGUGGGAGCGAACAGG
rnacentral:rRNA from 1 species